rnacentral:rRNA from 1 species
GAUGAACGCUGGCGGCGUGCCUAAUACAUGCAAGUCGAGCGAACAGACGAGGAGCUUGCUCCUCUGACGUUAGCGGCGGACGGGUGAGUAACACGUGGAUAACCUACCUAUAAGACUGGGAUAACUUCGGGAAACCGGAGCUAAUACCGGAUAAUAUAUUGAACCGCAUGGUUCAAUAGUGAAAGACGGUUUUGCUGUCACUUAUAGAUGGAUCCGCGCCGCAUUAGCUAGUGUAAGGUAACGGCUUACCAAGGCAACGAUGCGUAGCCGACCUGAGAGGGUGAUCGGCCACACUGGAACUGAGACACGGUCCAGACUCCUACGGGAGGCAGCAGUAGGGAAUCUUCCGCAAUGGGCGAAAGCCUGACGGAGCAACGCCGCGUGAGUGAUGAAGGUCUUCGGAUCGUAAAACUCUGUUAUUAGGGAAGAACAAAUGUGUAAGUAACUAUGCACGUCUUGACGGUACCUAAUCAGAAAGCCACGGCUAACUACGUG